UAGGCCACGGAAAUUAGUUGUCCUUGUA
rnacentral:piRNA from 1 species